GACGAAGGGGGCUAGCGUUGUUCGGAAUUACUGGGCGUAAAGCGCGUGUAGGCGGUUAUCCAAGUCGGGUGUGAAAGCCUUGAGCUCAACUCAAGAAAUGCACUCGGUACUGGGUGACUAGAGGACCGGAGAGGAUAGUGGAAUUCCCAGUGUAGUGGUGAAAUGCGUAGAGAUCGGCAGGAACACCCAGGGGGAAACCAGUCGACUGGGCAUCUACUGACGCUGAGGUGCGAGAGCGUGGGGAGCGAACCGG
rnacentral:rRNA from 1 species